GAGUGUGAGGACGAUCUGGCUGUGACAUCUGUUACCCCAUUGAUUGUCAGGGUUGAUUUAACUGAUCUGGCUGGCUAGGCGGGUGUCCCCUUCCUCCCUCACUGCUCCAUUUGUGUCCCUCUGAAGCUGCGUGCUUGGUGAAGAGGACGGCCUUCCCGGAAUAGAGACUGACCGUCUAGUCUUCAGUCGAGGGUAUAGGAGUAGCUGCGUUCCCCUGCUAGAACCUCCAAACAAGCUCUCAAGGUCCAUGAAAAGAUACUUCUCUCCCUCUCCCUC
rnacentral:snRNA from 1 species